UGGGGAAUCUUGCGCAAUGGGGGAAAGCCUGAUGCAGCGACGCCGCGUGAGGGAUGACGGCCUUCGGGUUGUAAACCUCUUUCAGCAGGGAAGAAGCGCAAGUGACGGUACCUGCAGAAGAAGCACCGGCUAACUACGUGCCAGCAGCCGCGGUAAUACGUAGGGUGCAAGCGUUAUCCGGAAUUAUUGGGCGUAAAGAGCUCGUAGGCGGUUUGUCGCGUCUGCUGUGAAAUCUCGAGGCUCAACCUCGGGCCUGCAGUGGGUACGGGCAGACUAGAGUGCGGUAGGGGAGAUUGGAAUUCCUGGUGUAGCGGUGGAAUGCGCAGAUAUCAGGAGGAACACCGAUGGCGAAGGCAGAUCUCUGGGCCGUAACUGACGCUGAGGAGCGAAAGGGUGGGGAGCAAAC
rnacentral:rRNA from 1 species